rnacentral:sRNA from 1 species
GCUGGGCACAGUGGUGCACACCUGUAAUCCCAGCUACUUGGGAGGCUGAGGCAGGAGGAUCACAAAUUUGAGGCCAGUCUGGGCAACUUAGUGAGACCCUUUCUCAA